UACGGGGGGAGCAAGCGUUGUUCGGAUUUACUGGGCGUAAAGGGCGCGUAGGCGGCCAGCACAAGUCAGUUGUGAAAUCUCCGAGCUUAACUCGGAAAGGUCAACUGAUACUGUGCGGCUAGAGUGCGGAAGGGGCAACUGGAAUUCUCGGUGUAGCGGUGAAAUGCGUAGAUAUGCGGAGGAACACCGAUGGCGAAGGCAAUCCCCUGGGCCUGCACUGACGCUCAUGCACGAAAGCGUGGGGAGCAAACAGG
rnacentral:rRNA from 1 species